AGGUAAGCUACAGUGCUGAAUUUGUGCCUAAUACCGAAGAAGCAUAUACUGUGAUAAUACAAAAGACAAGAAAAAUGGCCGCAACAGACGAACCAGUGAUCUCUCGAAGUUUCCAAGUCUUUGAAUUGGGAAAGGUGUUAUUUACUAUUGACAAUCCAACCUCUAAGAAGAAGAAGCUCAUAUAUAGGUUCAAGGUCAAGGUUCUAAGAGAGUGAAGCAUUCUAGCCGCCCACCAUGUUAGUGAUUGCAACAAGGGACAAAAGAAACAAGUAAGGCUGGAUAAAUUAGCUCAAUCAUUCAAUCUGAAUCUUACUGCUUCUUAUGUAUGCCAUCAAAAUUUUAUAUCUUUUUCCUCUCAAAUUAAAAUCUGUCAUCUGUUAUUUGGUCAUUUUAUGUGUGUUUCACUCGUUUUUCUACUCGAUUUGUAAAUUUUGUGGACAGUGUGUAGAGGUUUGUUUUUGUUUGGUUCAAUGUUGUA
rnacentral:misc_RNA from 1 species